GACGAACGCUGGCGGCGUGCCUAAUACAUGCAAGUCGAGCGAACUUUUGGGAGCUUGCUCCCAAAAGUUAGCGGCGGACGGGUGAGUAACACGUGGGCAACCUGCCUAUAAGACUGGGAUAACUUCGGGAAACCGGAGCUAAUACCGGAUAAUUCUUUUCUACUCAUGUAGUAAAGCUGAAAGACGGUUUCGGAUGUCACUUAUAGAUGGGUCCGCGGCGCAUUAGCUAGUUGGUGAGGUAACGGCUCACCAAGGCGACGAUGCGUAGCCGACCUGAGAGGGUGAUCGGCCACACUGGGACUGAGACACGGCCCAGACUCCUACGGGAGGCAGCAGUAGGGAAUCUUCCGCAAUGGACGAAAGUCUGACGGAGCAACGCCGCGUGAGUGAUGAAGGUUUUCGGAUCGUAAAACUCUGUUGUUAGGGAAGAACAAGUACCAGAGUAACUGCUGGUACCUUGACGGUACCUAACCAGAAAGCCACGGCUAACUACGUGCCAGCCGCCGCGGUAAAAC
rnacentral:rRNA from 1 species